rnacentral:rRNA from 1 species
GCACGAAAGUUAGCCGUGCGCUGCUUCUGGAAGGUACCGUCCAAGUGGUUACCCACUCCAUCUUCCCUCCCGAAAGGGGUUUACAAUCCGAAGACCUUCAUCCCCCACGCGGCGUCGCUGCGUCAGACUUUCGUCCAUUGCGCAAUAUUCCUUA